rnacentral:rRNA from 1 species
GAUGAACGCUGGCGGCGUGCCUAAUACAUGCAAGUCGAGCGAACAGACGAGGAGCUUGCUCCUCUGACGUUAGCGGCGGACGGGUGAGUAACACGUGGAUAACCUACCUAUAAGACUGGGAUAACUUCGGGAAACCGGAGCUAAUACCGGAUAAUAUAUUGAACCGCAUGGUUCAAUAGUGAAAGACGGUUUUGCUGUCACUUAUAGAUGGAUCCGCGCCGCAUUAGCUAGUUGGUAAGGUAACGGCUUACCAAGGCGACGAUGCGUAGCCAACCUGAGAGGGUAGUCGGCCACACUGGAAAUGAAACACGGUCCAGACUCCUACGGGAGGCAGCAGUAGGGAAUCAUCCGCAAUGGGCGAAAGCCUGACGGAGCAACGCCGCGUGAGUGAUGAAGGUCUUCGGAUCGUAAAACUCUGUUAUUGGGGAAGAACAAAUGUGUAAGUAACUAUGCACGUCUUGACGGUACCUAAUCAGAAAGCCACAGCUAACUACGUG